rnacentral:tRNA from 1 species
GCCGGGGUAGCUCAGUGGCAGAGCAGCUGAUUCGUAAUCAGCAGGUCGUGAGUUCAACCCUCAUCCCCGGCU